AAAAUGCGAUAAGUAAUGUGAAUUGUAGAAUUCAGUGAAUCAUCGAAUCUUUGAACGCACAUUGCGCCCGCCAGUAUUCUGGCGGGCAUGCCUGUUCGAGCGUCAUUUCAACCCUCAAGCCCCCGGGUUUGGUGUUGGGGAUCGGGCUGCGGUUCUACCGCGUCCCGGCCCCGAAAUCUAGUGGCGGUCUCGCUGCAGCCUCCAUUGCGUAGUAGCUAACACCUCGCAACUGGAACGCGGCGCGGCCAAGCCGUUAAACCCCCAACUUCUGAAUGUUGACCUCGGAUCAGGUAGGAAUACCCGCUGAACUUAAGC
rnacentral:misc_RNA from 1 species